UCUUUGGUGCGUGCGUGACUCGUGAAAGACGGAAGUUUUUGUGGCGCAUCUGGCUUGGCUGCUUGGGUCGUGGCGGCGCAUAGCAGGGGCAGGCCGGUGGGCGGCGGCGCAUUAGGCUCCAGCAGGGCGCGGCUGCUGCGGCUGCUGCGCACGGGCGCCGGUGGGGGCGCCUGCUGCAGGCGAGCGUGCGGCUGUGGCUGCGGCAGACUGCAGCAAGCGGCGGCGGCGGCGGCGGCUCUGUUCCUGCUCUAGAGUCUGGACGGGUGUCGGUGAGGGCUGCUGCUGCUCCUGUACUGCAGGGCGUCGGCGAGCUGGGGCCUAGGCCUAGGGGGCAGCUCUGCUCUCUGCUUAUUGCUGCGGCUGCGGUUGGUACUCUGCUCUACGUGACAACGAACAGCUCUUGUCUGCUCAUGUACUGCAGUACUGCUGUGGCUGCUACUCUCCUCCACGGCUCCACUUGAAGAAGCAAGAACAAAAACACUACUGGUAUUUGUGACCGGUUCGAUUUGACCGGUCCGAAACAAUUGAACUGGCGGUUCAACCGGUUCUAAACGGUUGGACCAAUGAACCAUUGAACCGACGGUCUCGCCGGUUCGAUUUCCGGUCCAGUCCUAAUAACUAUGGUUGGCCGUGGAUCCGGCCCGGCGGCGUUCGUCUUCCGGCGGCGGCAUGGCAUCAAUAUCGACUGCAUCCGGUGUCAGUGUCGUGCCAUCUUCCCCAUUGGCUGAAUCCUGCCCCAUUCGAUGGCAGACAAGUCGGUGGCUUCACCAGCAACAGCGGUGGUGGCUUCACCGGCACCUCUUCGUCAACAACUGGAUUUCCGUUCCCUCCAUAUCCAUCUGCUACUUUGUGGGAUUCAGCCGGCGCUAGUCCAGUGUCUCCUUCAGUUGGGCAUUCAGCAAGUUUGGAUUUGUCAUGGUAAUCAAUCUUCUAUGAUCUCUGCAAGCAACUUAUUGAUCCAUGUCUACUGUAAGGAAAUGUUACUUAUUUGCUGAUGUAGCAUAUGCGGAUCCUAAUCUAUGAUCAUUGUACGUUUAGACAAUACAGUAUAAAAUAAGUAAGUUGAGUUCA